GUAAGGUAACGGCUUACCAAGGCAACGAUGCAUAGCCGACCUGAGAGGGUGAUCGGCCACACUGGAAUCCAGACUCCUACGGGAGGCAGCAGUAGGGAAUCUUCCGCAAUGGGCGAAAGCCUGACGGAGCAACGCCGCGUGAGUGAUGAAGGUCUUCGGAUCGUAAAACUCUGUUAUUAGGGAAGAACAUAUGUGUAAGUAACUGUGCACAUCUUGACGGUACCUAAUCAGAAAGCCACGGCUAACUACGUGCCAGCAGCCGCGGUAAUACGUAGGUGGCAAGCGUUAUCCGGAAUUAUUGGGCGUAAAGCGCGCGUAGGCGGUUUUUUAAGUCUGAUGUGAAAGCCCACGGCUCAACCGUGGAGGGUCAUUGGAAACUGGAAAACUUGAGUGCAGAAGAGGAAAGUGGAAUUCCAUGUGUAGCGGUGAAAUGCGCAG
rnacentral:rRNA from 1 species